rnacentral:rRNA from 1 species
CACGUAGGGCGCAAGCGUUGUCCGAAAUUAUUGGGCGUAAAGAGCUCGUAGGCGGUCUGUUGCGUCCGCUGUGAAAACUCGGGGCUUAACCCCGAGCCUGCAGUGGAUACGGGCAGACUAGAGGUAGGUAGGGGAGAAUGGAAUUCCCGGUGUAGCGGUGAAAUGCGCAGAUAUCGGGAGGAACACCGGUGGCGAAGGCGGUUCUCUGGGCCUUACCUGACGCUGAGGAGCGAAAGCGUGGGGAGCGAACAGG